UUAAAUUAAAGGGUUGUGGAAUAGCCAUAUUUGAGAGAUAAAUUAGUUAAGUAACAUUGAUUUUGAUAUAAUUCAAUGUCAUACAUUUAUUUGUAUCAUAUUUUAUCCGGUUAUGCCCCGUCGAUUAAAAGGUUUCCAGUUGCAAGUGAGAAAUUAGGUGACGUUUUUCUCUUGGUGAAGUCAUCCACGUAUACAUUUUUUAACCACAUACAUAUGCUCCGCGUAUUCUAUUCCAUAUCAUCGAAAUAAUAUAAGAUUAUAACCCCACCUACAACCUUUAAAUACUAAACAUAUUCCAACUAUAGUUAUCCAUAAUCCCCCAUAACCCCUGAAUAUUACACCCUAAGCUCAAAUAAGUAACCCUAAACCCAUGUCUAAACUCUAAACCCAAAUAUAAACCAUAAACCCAAACAGAAUGGAACAAAAUAAAUAACAUAGUACAUAAUGGUGAAAUUAUGAAAUCUAUGUGAUUGCAUGUAAGAAGUUAAUGAUGACCCCAAUCAUACCCCUUCAUCUUCUAAAUACUAAACCCUAAUCUCUA
rnacentral:lncRNA from 1 species